UUUUUUAAAAGAACAGAAUUCUUUUUUAUGAUUUCGUAUAAGAGAAAUUGAAUUUUUUUUGUGUUGGCAUCUCAAAAUAAAAAUGAACUAGGAAUCUAGAAUAGGCAUUUCCCAGACAAAUCCAUUCCCAUCUCUCAGAGAUGUAAGCACCAGAUUUUCAGCAAUCUCUUUCCACAAGUUGUCAAAAUUAACAUAGUAAAAUUGAAAUUUCAAUUGAAAUCAUCAUAGCGAAAACUAAAAGUUGCACAUCAGAUAUCAUCAAAGGCCCAUACUACCCCAACUGUUCUAUUCAAUCUGAAACCAGAACUCAAGUGGGAUCAGCAACUGUCUUGAAAGGCUAUGGCAAACUGGGCUCUGAACUUUGAGCAUCAAUCAAUCUUUUCGUAUAUUUAAGGGAAGUUGCUUACACUCAAUUGACGAGACAAACCCAAAAAGCCAUACAAAAUUUGCACCAUCCCUGUCUCAUAAAUAAGUUCCAGCUAUAUUUUGCUCAUAAGUAUGCUAUGUUUAAGUAGUGAUGAUAUUUACCACCAUGAUCGGGCUAUCUGAAUUCUGGAUCUCACCCCCGAGAAGACCAUGUUCAUGGCAGGCAAUUGGUAAAGUUUCAACUCCACUGGGAUUAAGGACAUGUUUAGUUGUCUACCGCUACUUGUAGAGGGACAUGCUGUUAGCUUGCAGCAUGACUCGAAGAUUUUGAGCCUGGAGCCAGUAAAUGAUAUAAGAACUGCAUGGCAGAUUUUAUAAGGGUCCGGAUGGGAAACCAGAUUGAUCCAGUUGAGCUAUCUUGCAUUUGUAAUUCAUCAUGUCCAUGAUUAGAGUGAACAAGCCUUUGAAAUUUAGCUGAUAGGUCUUGAUAAGACUGAACCCUUGAUGGCUGGACAUGUGUAAUUACAGUCUUUAAAUGUUGCAUUGUUACUUCAGAAGCAUCAACGCACUCCUCAAUGGCUGCAAUAGCUGCUUCACGGCAGAUAAAUGAAAUAUCAGCUCCAGUACAGCCCUCAGUAAGAUGAGCUAGCUCUUUUAUGCUGAUGUCUGAACUACAUGGAAUCUUACGCAAAUGAAUGCGAAAUAUGUCUUCCCUAUCAGUCUCAUUAGGAGGUCCCACAUAAAGCAGCCGAUCAAAGCGCCCUGGUCUCAAAAGGGCUGGAUCAAUCUUGUCAGGACGAUUUGUAGCAGCAAUAACAGUAACAUUAACUCUUUGAUGCAGACCUAAAUACAACAAAACAUAUACUCAUGCAAAAAAAUAAAAUGGGUGACAGCAUGAUGCAUCCCAAAACAAACUAGAGGCGGAUAAAACGCAGGCAAUUUCAAGUUUUGGUGACCACCACAGAAAAAUUUUGUUUUCCAAAAAAAAUCAUGAACAAAAUCUCUAAGACAAAAAAAUCUUACAGGUAAUUCAACACAUCACUAACCAUCCAUUUCAACAAGAAGUUGAGUCAUAACCCUAUCAGAAACUGAAACUCCAUUUUCCUUCCCACGAAUAACAGCAAGACCAUCAAUUUCAUCAAAAAAUAUGAUUGAUGGGGCAUUAGCCCUGGCCUUUGUAAAGAGGGACUUUACAGCCUUCUCUGAUUCACCAACCCAUUUGCUAAAAAGUUCUGGACCCUUCACUGCAAAGAAAUUUAGUCCAGCUUCACAAGCUACUGCACGUGCCAUGAGAGUUUUGCUACAACCAGGAGGACCAAACAUUAAAACCCCAGUUGGGGGACGAGUACCAAUGCGCAAGAAUGCAUCUUGAUGUCUUUGAGGCCAUUCCACUGCUUCCAUUAGUUGAGCUUUUACCUCCCUCUGGCCGCCUACAUCUUCCCAAUUAACUUUUGGAAUCUCAAGUAUCACCUCCCGCAUGGCACUAGGCCUCACUUUCAUCUUGGCCUUCUCAAAAUCUUCUAAAGUGGCUUCUAAAUUUUUUUCUUCCACCAAAAAUGUCUCCUUAUAACUAGUACUAACCCCAUUAUCAUUGCUAUCUGAAAUUUCAGAAACUGUUCCAAUAGAAUCUGUACAAACGUCUUGCAUCUCACCCAGGCAAUCAGAUUCUUUUAUCACACUGUCAAAAUGAGAUUCAUAUGCAACAGAUGACUCAUUGGAAUGCAAAAUAUCAUACAACUUUUUGGACUUUGCAUAUCGUCGAAGACAAACUAAGGCUGCCUCAUUGCAGAGGGAAGCUAAAUCAGCACCCACAAAGCCAUGCGUAGCCAUAGCAAGGUUUUGAACCUGCAUUUCUGAAAGAGAAUGCUCCAUUUGAGUGAGAAGGGUGUUCAGUAUAUCCAGUCGUUGCUUAGGAGAUGGAACACCUAUCUCAAUUUCUCUGUCGAGUCUUCCAGGCCGUCUCAGUGCAGGCUCAACGCUAUCAGGCCUGUUUGUAGCAGCAAUUACAAGUAGUCCAUCAGUCCUACUAAUCCCAUCCAUCAAAUUUAACAAUGUAGCUACCAUUCGUAGGGAAAGUUCUUCACCUCCAUCUUUCCGUGAAGAAGCAAUAGCAUCCAAAUCAUCAAUAAAAACCACAGCAGGUGCAUCCCGACUGGCAGAAUCAAAAACUUCAUUAAUUGCUUGCUCACUUUCUCCAUGAUAUUGACUUAUUAUCUCAGGUCCAUUCACAGAGAAAAGGUUGACACCAGCAUCAAAAGCACAUAAUCGAGCCAAAGAGGUCUUUCCUGUGCCAGGUGGGCCAUGAAGAAGCACUCCCUUUGUUGGUUGUAAACCAAGACUAAAUAGUUAUGUCAAUAAUCAAUAAUAAAAAAUCAUUGUGCAGAAAAAUACAAAACUGAAUUGGAAAUAAUGAAUGGACCCAUCGCACAGUUACAAAAGUAGAUAUAAAAGCAUAAAACAUGCAUAACUAUCUCUUCCAUCCCAAACAAUGUGUUAAGUUACCAUUCCUACUUAAAGAAGAUAGUGAUUAUACUUAGGAUUUUUAACCAAGGCCUAGAGUUCAGAAUUUCAAUUAAAUGCUAUAAGAAUCAAAAAGAAUCUAUACCUGCAGAAUGAUUAACAAAUUAUGGAAUACUAACUAAUGAACACAACUUAUGUCAUAUGAUAUGUUGCUUAUGAUACUACAGAAAAGGCAAAAUUUAAGGGGAAAAUCAUAUAGAAAACAGAUCAUGGAAUAUUGUCCAUACCACAGAAUUAAAAACAAAUAAAUAAUAAUAAUGACGAUGAUAAUAAUAAUAAUAGAAAAGGACACCAGAAAAGCAAUCUUUAAGAAAAGGAUCAAAGCAAUAAUGGGCUGAAUACUGGAAAAAGUGAGAGAAUGAUCUUUAAGUUCAAAAUUCAAAUAGUUUAUGCUUAAAUAAGACGCCCAACAGUUUACCACAGUUGUUUAAUACACUUCUUAACGGAUGAAGUUCUAGAUGAUUUAUCCCAUUGUCCCAGAUUCAACAGGGUUUAUGGGCUUCAUCAGCUUUAACUUUGAAGCAUGUUUCUUGGCUACAAAGGACAGACAGUCAUUAUGUGUUUAGAGGAUUUAAAGUGGUACUUGACUACAAGCAUGCUUGACAGAUAAUCAGAUACAAUCAUCCUAGCAUGCUUGACAGAUGGUCAGAUACCAUCAUCCCUAAAAUAUCUUAGUAAUUUGUAAGUUUUAUCAUAAGCGCCAUAGUCCUGACAUUAAUGUACAGACUCUCUCCAUCCUUUCUAGGUGUUUUACCAUGUCAGUCUUAGACAAUUCAAUUACAAAAAUUGAUAGAAAGGAAAGUUCCUUAAAUAUAGUGUCACUAUCAAAGAAAGCAGUUAAUAAAGCAAAUUCAAAUAAAAUUUCGAAAAAAAAAUUUUAAACAACAUACCUUGACAAAGAGUUCUUCAUGGAUGACAUAAUUAUAUCCUUCAAAACUGCAUAUUCUCUAUGUAGACCACCUAAUUUCGAUAUAUCAUGUCCUGAAAUGUUUUUCAAACCCUCACGCUCAAUUCUCUCAAAUGGAAAGCCACUCUUCUCGGGGGUUUUGGUUGCCGAACUCAUUGGUAGAUGUAAAUAUACUUUUGUUUCAUAUUUUAUGGAAAAAGCAUCUUUCAUGUUGUCUACUAAUUCAUGAGAUUGAGGAUAUAUGCUAUGACUACUUUCUUUCAUCAAAUCUUGAUUUGUACAUUCUCCCAGCAUUUUAUUCAAACUUGUGAUACGGAAAAUGCAAAGCUCCGAAAGUAUGGGGAUAGCCACAAGAUUUCCACAUAUUAAAAUACGAGAAUAUAACCAUGAAGUAGCACAAGCCUGCAGAAGUUGUUUGCCACGUUCAUCCUUUAAGAACUCUUUGAUAUCAAACGAAUCAACAGAAGUAGUGUUUAGAUUGGAUAAAUUAGAUGUUGCUUCUUCAUAUCUUGAUGAAACUGAUUGACUAGGACUAGUGGAGAUUAGCAUUGGCUGAUACAAAGGUGUCCUAGGGGAUGAAAUCUUCCCAUUUUCAGAUUGCUCAUGUGUUUUUUCUGCAGAUUUCAUCAUGGAGAUCAUAUCAUUGCUCAAUUUUGCCCUCUUCUUAAUAGGAACCAGCUCCAAGUGCAAUUCAUGGCAGUUAUGAACUUUGAGACUAUCAACUUUUCUAUCAUGUACAUCAUUAUCUCCAUUUGCCAGACCAGUUAGAAAUUGACUUUGUAUAGGGUAAAUAAAUACAAACCUUCCGGAAUCAGGACAUCCCAUUGUGUAAUAAAGGUUUGAAGACAACCGCACUUCAUCCCUCAAAGCCUUAUUGGAAGGAAAAACCAUAGCCAAAGCAAAGUAGUUUCCUAACUCAUUAGCUGUUUGAUCCACAUAUUCAAACUCGAACUGCCUAGUACAUUCAUCUGAUAUUGAGCUAAGAGGAAAGUUAUUAGAAAUCCUUCUCUCUGAAGUAGCAAGAGAAACCGAUACAAUGGAACCAGGGGAAAGGGAAGAAGCAACCAUGGAAGACUCUGAAAGCCAAAUUUUACAUCCUCUUGACUCAGAAACAACAUCAGUGACUCGACCAAUGAAAGCAAAUUUCCCAAUCAUAAAAGGAAAUCUGGUUGAUGCUUGUUCUAGAGAGAGGAUGAGAUCCUGCUCAUGAAUUUCUAAAUCAGUAGAAGAAAUCAACGAUGGUGCUCCAGGAGACAAAGAUUGGCCAAAAUUUGAAAGCCUCGAAACUGUCUUUGAAUGCUUCUUCGCCUUUGAAGGCAUUUCUAGCUCAAACCCUGAAAAAGAAACGUAAACCGUUGAGGGAUGAAACAAAGAAGAAGGCUUGAACCAGACCACCAGGGCUUAGGGGUUUAGCAGUUGGAGCUUAUCCAGGGCAGUGCUUCAGCGUAGUAGGUUUUAAAACUGGAAAAACAACCAGCAGAGAUGGAGAAACACCUUAAAUGUUGUAACUUUGGUGAUGACAGUUUCUGUUUUGAGAUUCCAAGGAGGCUAAACAAGUGAUGAUCCGUGAGGGACCAGACAAUUGUAUUUAUGGAUGAGUAAAGAAGUGGGGA
rnacentral:misc_RNA from 1 species